rnacentral:rRNA from 1 species
UACGAAGGGGGCUAGCGUUGCUCGGAAUCACUGGGCGUAAAGCGCACGUAGGCGGAUUGCUAAGUCAGGGGUGAAAUCCUGGAGCUCAACUCCAGAACUGCCUUUGAUACUGGCGAUCUCGAGUCCGGGAGAGGUGAGUGGAACUGCGAGUGUAGAGGUGAAAUUCGUAGAUAUUCGCAAGAACACCAGUGGCGAAGGCGGCUCACUGGCCCGGUACUGACGCUGAUGUGCGAAAGCGUGGGGAGCAAACAGG